UUGGUCGAAUCCUUGUUGUACUCCACUGCUGCGAAAACUAGACUGAAACGGUGAAUUGUUUGGUGUAGAGCUUGGAGUUAGCGCGAUCCUUGGGUUCGAAAGGCUACGAUCGACCCAGCAGGUGGCGCCACAGCUGUGAGAGUGUACCGCUGCCAGGGGAUAGCUUUCGAGGUGGGUUUACAUCGGUUUAUUCCUAAGUACCGUAAUCGUCGACAUGUAUGAUUUUUCAGUUUCGGUAAUCAUGUUGUAGCUUGCUAUUCGUGAUGCUAUCCUAGAUAAAAUCAGUAUUGAGAACAUGACUAGUAAAUCUUAAAUGUACAUGUUGGACUGGGAUUUGACUUAGGAGAAAACACGAUUGGAAUCGUCAUAUGCUUAAACUACCAGAUUUAGCUCUAGGAGCCGUGAUUCGAUUGUAUCGUUGCAGUAUCGUUGCGAUGGAUACCUGGGGUAGUUUAGAAGGCAUUUACGCUCGUGCUGAGAUGCCGAGCUUAUUUUUCAGCAGAGUUUAGGCUGUUUCGGGUCGUUGGGUGCCGUUCGGGUUAGCGGUGGACCCAGAUUCUUGUUUUGGUCACAGAUUGUGCCGAGGGCACGUGGGUUUGGUUUGUAGACCUGUUUUGACCCUGUUCACUUGACUUUGGCUAGUUGGAGCCUGAUUGAGCUCGACAGAGAUACGCUGCAUACUCGGUUGGGUAGCGCCCACGAGUGCCACUCCGGAGUCAGGCUUUGUGCUUUCGCGUUGGUGUCGCUCAUGCCAGUUGGACUUGCUCUCCACGGACCAGUUAGUGUGGAUAGAGCCCGAUAGUCGCAACGGGGCAGGGACGGGUGUAUUCACAGUGCCGGGGACGGGUAUGAUUACAGUCCCGAUUGGAUUGGGUCAGAGUUGACAUUUCCUAUAGUUGGUUAGUAUAGAGCAUGAUAGUGUAGUGAUCGAUAGCGGUAGAGUUUAUUUCCUGCUUUUCUGACUACUCUUGCUCCCUUCUGUAGACUUGGUGGGUGGACCGAUGUUGUUUUGGGCGGUACCCACUGAGGACUACUUGUUUUUACAGUAGUUCUCACACCCAGUUGUUACCUAUAUUUUUGCAGAGCCACAGGUUUCGGCUGCUGCGCCUUCCGCGGACCAGGAUGGAGGCAAGGGCGUCGCGAGUUAGAGCCCUACUCGACGUGCUGAGCUAGAGGUGCCCCUACUGCAGGUAGAUGUUUUGUUUCGAGUUUAUGUACAUAGUUGACUUAACUCGCCAGUGCGAGUAGCUCUGUAUUUUGGAUUUGGACUAUGUAUAUGAAACUCAGUUUGUUUAGCUUAUGUUUUCUCUAGCAGCUCUCUACUACUGUUCGUAGUAGUGUUUGAUUUACAGGUACAGCUGUCGCUUCGUAUAUAGGAAAAAUUUCUUUGUAUACGGUGGAUUUGUCGGCGUGCCCGGGGAACGAGACAUCCGGGGCGUGACAAAAUGAGUAGUAAUAGAAUGACUAACCGAGCAU
rnacentral:lncRNA from 1 species